CUGGUUGCUCAUAAUAUUAUACGUCAUUAAUGUUACUGACAUGUUAGCAAAUCUAUAUGACACUUUAAAGUGCGUGCAUGAAUCAAUCAAAAAUCUUCACAUUAUAAGUGUUAGUAUAUUAAUAACAUAUAAAGAUGAUAUUGAGCGACCAGCCUAGAUCAUUUCUCUUUCUAUUUUAUCAAUUUUAUUAUUAUUAUUUUUUUUUACCAUAUAUAGUUUGUUGUGCCAACAAGUCCAUGUGCGCACCCACAAACGCACAUGUUUGUACGUGUGCGUUUGAGCGUGUAUGGUCAUUUUGACGCUCCCUAUCAUAUAAUGUGUUUGCAAUUUGUUUCCCUAACAUUGUUGCUUUUAUAUUCACACUUUAAAUUGGAUAAUAACAAGAUAUUAUAUUUUACAAACAAGAACAAAUAUCGCACUAUUCGGAUAAUAUUAUAAAAAUAUAUAUAUACUACUUUACUAUCUUAUCUAACAACAAAAUCUUAUAAGACUGGAAAGUGAAAAACAUAGAAAAGGAUAGCUAUUUAGAGUUUUCCCCUUUUGAAGUACCCUGCGUGGGGACCGACCGUCCCUAGAGCAAGUGGCAAAGGGUUUGGUGGUUAGUACCUGAGGUCCCAAGUUCGAAUCCUAGUUGAUUCACAUUUUUAGCUAAGUUUAUUUCUAAAUGACAUAAACGAAGCGGGUAGCGUGCUACCUAUUUCUCUCUCAAAAAAAAAAAGUAGUACUCUGUGUGGGCACAUGCUAUGCAUCUGAGUGCUCUUUGCUAUAAGUAAUUAAGUAAGCAACUAAGCAUGCAUGAUGUAUGUAUCUUUACAGCUUACCCAUAGACAUUGUAGGGAAUCCCUUGCUGGAUGGCAUAAUGAGGGAAGGUGGCAUGAGCAGAAGGAAAAGCUGCCCCCAUUCCACCUUGAAGGCCUGCUGCAUGAAAUGAUUUCAUAACCCUAAAGUUCCUGCUCCCUCCUGCAUUAAAAUAAAGUUGUCACAUAUUUUUUUCCAUUAAUAAUAAGCAACAAAAACAAAACAUGCAUGGUGAAUAAUUAAUCAACCUAGCAAAUAGUAAGAAAUAAUGUUGUAUCGAUUGUGUAUAUAAAGUGAUAAACAAAUAAGGAUGAAUUUUUUUUCUUUUCUUUUUGAGCUACUAUUUAUGGAAAAUGAACAACUACCUAGGAUAACUACCAUUCCUGUUAUCAUUCACCUUGUUGAAAAGGAAUGUUAACUUUUGGAGACAACUGUUUCAUAUUUUCUAUUUGCGUAAUUACUAAUUACCAUGCCCUACUUUUUCUUUUUUACUGAAGCUUCACCAAAGUUUAGAUUAAAUUAUAUAAUUAAAUUUAUAUUGCAGGACCAAACUUGAUGAUAUGUUGCUCUCAUGAAUCGCAGCAACCAUGCACUAAAUUUCUAACAGGCUUGUAAUUAAGCACUGAAGAAUAUCACACAAUAAGUAGUUUAUAAAUUCAUGAACUACUUAAUUAGAGGCUUUCAAAAAAAAUAAAAAUUAUAUGCAACCUAUUUAUGAAUGAGUGUAAAAUGUACUGAUUUUUGCAUAGUUAAAAAGGAGAAAAAGUAAAUAAAUUAAGAUGUUUAUAAAGAAUCGGAGAUAAAUACCAUGUAGAGGUGUUGUCGGUCGAGAUCUCUGAAGACCAAGGGAAGCAAGAUUGCAAUUAGCCCGUCUUCCAUCGAUCACCGGCGAAGGAUCUACACAAGCUCGCGUUGCGGCCUCUGGCUCACCAAAUGUAACCUGGCAUUAAGAAGAAUUAAAAUAAGUAAAGCAUUGAUUCAAGCCAAACAUAAACACAUUUCGAUAGAUCAAAUUAUAAUUAAGGAACAUAAAUACCAUACAUAUAUGCAGAAAAGAGAGAGAAAAAAAAGAAAUGAUAUUACAUAAGUGUAUAUAUAAUAAUAAUUAAUUAGAGUAGAUCCUGAUUCUAUUAUUUCCAGAUUCGAUAUCUAGCUGAUGCUUAAUUUUAUCCAAAAAAAUAUGUUCAUAUAUAUGAAACAUCUUGGAUUCUUUGGAGAAUAUAUGCACCCAAAAGAGAAGAUCAGGUAAUUAGUGAUAUACAAUGUGCACAUAAAAUAAAAGGAAUUGUAUUUGCAAAAAGUAACCCAUCAAAUUAAGAAGAGGAGAAAGAAAAAGUAGAUCAAGUUAAGGAGAAGGAGAACUCACGAAUCCAUAGCCUUUGGAUCUCCCAGUGUUCUUAUCAGUAAUAACAACAGCCUCUAAAAUCUCCCCAAACUGCUCAAAGUGUUUCCUGAGGGUCUCCUUUUGGGUCUCCCAAGCAAGCCCUCCAACAAACACCUUGGUGUAAGUUGUGUCUCCAAAUUGUUGCCCUCCCAUAUUAUAUGGAGUAGUACUCAUCUAACUCUCCACACUCCAAUUUAAGGUGUGUGUGUGUGUAUAUAUAUAUAUAUACCUAUCUAUGUAUAUAUAUCAAAUGAAAAGGGAAAAAAGAAGACCAAGGCAACAAGUGAUGAAGUUGUGAUAGGAAGGAAAUUAAAUGGCCAAUCAAAGUAAUAAGAGAGAAAGUUGUUUAAAAUCCUUAGGGGCGAGAGAGAGAGAGAGAGAGAGAGAGAGAGAGAGGAAGAAGAAGAAGAAGAAGAAGAAGAAGGAGAAGAAGAAGAAGAAGAAGAAGAAGCAGAAGAGGAAGAAGGAGAAGAUGAAGAAGAAGAAGAAGAAGAAAAGCAAAAGGUAAGAAAGGAGAGACCAGAGAAGGUAGGACCUUGCACAAUAUAUAAUACUAUUAUAAUAGUCCCAAAACUUGGUGGUGGUGUUCAUUUCACCUUUGUGGACUAGUCUUUAUUAGGGUCCAACCUGUAUAUAUAUAGUUUUUCUUAAUUUUAAAAGAAAAGUUUUUUUUUAAAAAGGAAAGAGGUCCAACCUGUAGAAGGAUGCAUGCAUUGAUUUUUUUCUUUUUUCUUUUUUUCCUUUUGUAAUAAUUGACUAAUAUGCCCUUGCAAAUUGGUUGAAAUUUUUAGGUUGCAUGUGCAUAUGAGUGUGUAUGGUGGGAACAUGGCUAGAGUGGCAAAAACGGAACGGAACUGGCCGCGAUUGGAACAGGAAAGGGAAAAAAAAAAAAUGCUAAGUCUACAGCUAAAAAAGAUUGUAUUCUUUACAAUUCCUAAUUCGACGAUUAUAAGGGUUUAAACAAAUUUUUUUUUAUCUUUAGUAAUUUUUUUAAAAAAAAAUUUGAAUGAUAAGGUCAGGGUAGUAAAUAUAGCCUUUAAUUAGACGCUGAAAUUUAUAGAAUUACAAUCCAAAAUAAAUUAUAGACCUCACAUUAACUAAAGGAUAUAUAUAUAGAGUGAGGCUACUAUGCUAUCGGAAGCACGGAGCCUUCCGUGCUUCCAGCUCGUUUUCGAUGUUGCGACUUUCGAAUCGUCGAUCGGCUCCGUUAAACUUGAUCUAGAGUAUUUGGAGUACCUAGAAAAUAAAUUUUAUUAUUUUUCGAUAUCAUUUGCCUAGUGAUCGAAUGGGCUCAAAAUCAACAAAUUUCAAUGGCCGUAGUGAGCCGUUUGCAAGUUUAACGGUGUAGAAAUAUCCAAAUCACGUGAAAUUUUGAUAGAAAAUUCUUUAUACUAUAUAAAACAAGAUCAAUAUCUUUGAUUUAAAAUUUUAAUGUCAUAUUAUUACAUUUUGUAAGAUUUUUAUUUUCAGCCGUUGAUUUUGAGCCCCUUCGUUCACUAGGCAAAUGAUAUCGUAAAAUCAUAAAAUUUAUUUUCUACGUACUUCAAAUACUCUAGAUCAAGUUUAACGGAGCCGAUUGGCGAUUCGAAAGUUGCAACAUCGAAAACGAGCUGGAAGCACGGAAGGCUCCGUGCUUCCGAUAGCAUAGUAGCCUCACAUAUAUAUAUAUAUAUAUAUAGAGAGAGAGAGAGAGAGAGAGAGAGAGAGUCCAGCUAUUAUACUCUUAUGAGUACGAUCGCCCUUGUACUUAUAAGUUGUUUUCGAUGAUAGAGCUUCGGAAUCGACGAUCUACACCGUUAAAUAUUAUUUAGAGCAUUUAAAACGUCUAUAAAUCAAAUUUUAUAAUUUUUCGAUAUCAUUUACCUUACGAUCCGAAGGUCUCAAAUUCGACAAUAUUUAACGGUCGGUAUGGAAUAUUUGUUAGUUUAACGGUGUACGAAGGGCCCAAUACUCAUAAGAGUGUAGUAGUCCUAUUCUAUAUAUAUAGUGAGCUGGUAUGCUUCUAGAAACACGGAGCCUUUCGUGCUUCCAAGUCGUUUUCGAUGUUGGGACUUUCGAAUCAACGAUUGGCUCUGUUAAACUUGAUCUAAAGUAUUUGAAGUAUCUAGAAAAUAAAUUUUGUGAUUUUUUGAUAUCAUUUAUCUAUUGAUCGAAGGGGCUCAAAAUUAAUAAUUUUAAUGAUCGUGGUGAGCCGUUUGCAAGUUUAACGGUGUAGAAAUAUUCAAAUUACGUGAAAUUUUGAUAGAAAAUUCUUUAUACUAUAUAAAACAAGAUCACUAUUUUUUAUCUAAAAUUUUAAUGUCAUAUCAUCAUAUUUUGUAAGAUUUUUAUUUUCAGCCGUUGAUUUUGAGCCACUUCGAUCACUAGGCAAAUGAUAUCAAAAAAUCACAAAAUUUAUUUUCUAUAUACUUAAAAUACUCUGGAUCAAGUCUAACGGAACUGAUCGUCGAUUUGAAAAUCCCAACAUCGAAAAUGACUUGAAAGCACAGAGCGCUCCGUACUUCCAGAAGCAUACCAGGGAUUUGCUUAAGCCUUUUGUUUGUGCCCUACAAUCUUAUCCUAUAUAUAUCACCAUUUAUGAGCCUUUUAUAUUUUAAUACUUGUGUUUUCUUCAUUUAAUUAGUUCUUUCAGUUGUAACUAUCAAAUCAAAUGCUUAAAUAGAAUAUGGUACAUCAAAAAAUACGUAGAUAACUAGUUGGCCCAAUUAAUGGUUAAUUAAGAUUAACAAUGUACUGAUUAGAUAAAGAACAAUCUUAUAUAUUGAUGUAAUUAAUUCUCAUUCGAAAUAAUUGUAUUCCGCAUAUGGCAAUCGAUUUCUUAAGAUUAUUAUUACUAGAUGUUAAAUUUUUCAAAGGAGAUAAUGUUUUGUCAUUCUCGAUGGUUUAGUGGGAGACCAAAUUAGGAGACCACCUACGUAACACCAUCAUUUAGCAUUUACUUUUUGACAUUUUAAAAUACAAUUUCCUAUUGCAGUGACACAGCCAUGGUAUUCUCUAUCAUCAGAGUUUAUUAUGUUUAGUUUGGCUCCACAUAUGUUUAGAUCUUGUAAUCCAAUUAAUCUUGUAAUUAGUGAAAUUAAGUCUACAAAAAUUGUAUAUUCAAACAUUAUUAUUCUCUCGCUUUAAUCGGUCAAAACUAUUGUUUUAGAACCGUCCAAAAAAUUUUCACAAGAAAGAGAAGAAAUAAGCGAGAGACAGAUCUCCGUUAAUAUUUUAUUAAAAUUUCAAUUGAAGCUACGCGAAACUAAACCUCGAGGUAAAAUUAAAUAAUAAAUUGAAUGGAUAUAAUUUUGAGGUCAACAGAUACUUUUCUAUCGGUUGAAAACUUUUUUAAAAAAAUUGAAUUCUCUUUAAGGAACCUCUAUACGACCUGUUAGAUAUGUUAGCUGUUACUAACCUGUCAUGGAUAUAUAUGGACUCUUCAUUAAUCACCGAGUUUAAUUUAAUCAUCCAACAUUGGCGUGCUAAGGUUAUAAUUAAGUUAAAUAAACUAAAGACCACAUUCAACGAAUACAUAUAUAGAACGGAUUCAAUGAACUUCGUGCUCCUGGUUUCAUUAAUUAGUCCUCGUCCUUGGUAUAAAACUAUAGAACAAUAUUACCCCUCAACUUUUAUCAUACAUUUUCUUUACAUUUUACUUUCAAAAACUUAAAGUAAUCUUAAUCAAAUAAUUAAAAUUUCAUCAAGUUCGUCAAUAAUUAAUCAAAUUUAGUGCUUUCAACUCAAUUCUAAUUAAUAAAAUGAAAGUAAAGCUGAUGGGUCUGCUUCAAAAUGGCAGAGAGUUGAGGAACUGCUCACACAAUUUUACCUAUUCUUACUGAUUGUGAUUAUUGUUGAUUAGUGAAUUAAAUAGUAUUAAUUUUAUAGGGAGAACAAAAUUAGUAGUUGUCGCGGAUGUUGAUUGGUUUGGCGGCGGAUUUUUUAGCGGUUAGGUGGUCACACGAUGGCAAAUUUUGUGGCCUACCGUGAUAUCUCAGUAACUCUAUUCUGCUCGGCUCUGCUAAAUUUAUUAUGCAAUUAUCUUUAACUCCUCAGCGAGUUUUUGUUGACGAAACAGUUUGAUAAGUCAUAUGGUUUACUCUACAUUCAAAUUUAAAGAUUUAUUAUA
rnacentral:lncRNA from 1 species